CGGUGCUGACAGGUCCCUGCCUUGCAGUGCUCACGUGGGAGGGCGAGAUCUCGGCCGUGAGCCGGGACGCCAUUCGGGACGCGGGCUGGGCCCAGCGCGCCAGAGUCACCGACGACUGGGACGAGGACUUCGACAGUGGCAAGGCGAAGAAGAGUAAAAAGUUCAAGCGGGAGCGGCGGAGACACUUCAACGCCUUCCA